GACGAACGCUGGCGGCGUGCUUAACACAUGCAAGUCGAACGGAAAGGCCUCUUUCGGGGGGUACUCGAGUGGCGAACGGGUGAGUAACACGUGAGUAACCUGCCCUUGACUUUGGGAUAACUUCAGGAAACUGGGGCUAAUACCGGAUAGGAGCUCCUGCUGCAUGGUGGGGGUUGGAAAGUUUCGGCGGUUGGGGAUGGACUCGCGGCUUAUCAGCUUGUUGGUGGGGUAGUGGCUUACCAAGGCUUUGACGGGUAGCCGGCCUGUGAGGGUGACCGGCCACUUUGGGACUGAGAUACGGCCCAGACUCCUACGGGAGGCAGCAGGGGGGAAUAUUGCUCAAUGGGUGGAAGCCUGAUGCAGCAACGCCGUGUGCGGGAUGACGGCCUUCGGGUUGUAAACCGCUUUCGCUCAUGACGAAGCUUUGUGUGACGGUAGUGGGUAAAGAAGCACCGGCUAACUACGUG
rnacentral:rRNA from 1 species